CUGGUAACUGAGACCUUUAAGUCAAGUCAUUUUUUACACAUAAACUUUAUCACUUCACUUCACGACACUUAAAUUGUUUUGAUAGUAUUUUUAAUGUAUUUGUAUAUGGGUUUAUAACUGUUCUUGUCUUUUAAUAACUGUUCAAGUGGCGGCGGGCGGGAUGAAGAAUCAAACUUAAUUUUCAGUUCACACAGUUCACUAGCCAACACUAGUCUGUCAAGUAGGAAGGUUUGGCAGUCAAAAAUAAGAUGCUCCAUGGUUCCUUCUUGUGAUUCACAAUGGGGGCACGUAUUACUCGUAAUAAUCCCAAGUCUAGCAAGGUGUGACGGUGCAGUAUUAUGGCCAAAGCGCAAUCUAUUUAACGUAGUGAUAAAGUCUCGGCUGGCUUCUUUCAGUCUAUUGUACCAGGGUCUAACAGGAAAUCGGUCAUCGGAAUUUCCAUUGCAUUUCUAACAUCAACAGCAUUAUUACCAUCAUAUGCGGUUUUAUCAGCUAUUUCAUUGCCAGAGAUGCCUCGGUGAGAUGGUACCCACAGGAACGCAAUUUCGAUAUGCUUAAGCAAUAUUUUGGAUAAUGUUGGGGAAUUGCCACUCAAGAGAUCCUCUCCUGUUGUUAGUCUACUAGAAUUAGUAUUUACAAAAGGUCAAAGAUUAAAGAAGUGAAGCUGUCAGCACAACUUCGUCCUCGACGAAAUCCAUAUUGAACAUGUGGAAUGAUGCUGUUAGAUUCCAUAUACCAAUCUAAACGAUUUUUGAUCAUGUUUUCAAAUAUUUUCCCUAGACAUGAGGAGAGUGAUAUUGGUCUAUAAGAGCUGGCCAACUUUGCAGGUUUAUCUGGUUUGAGUAUUGGAAUGACACAUUGUGUUUUCCAUGACUGUGGAAUACGUUUACAAUGCCAAAGGAGAUUAAGAACAUUAAGAAAUAUUUUUUGCGCAGAUUCAUCUAAAUUUUUAAUAAUACAAUAUGGAAAAUCAUCUAAACCAGGUGUAGUGUCUCUCCGAGAUAUCAAACUCAUGUUAAAUUCUGACCAUGUAAAAGGAUGUAAUAAAAAUUUUGAAUUUAGA